GAACGUUAGCGGUGUGGAUUAGGCAUGCAAGUCGUGCGCGAAAGCCUUCGGGCGAGUAAAGCGGCGAAAGGGUGAGUAACACGUAAUCAACGUACCCCUGAGAUCGGAAUAACUGCGGGAAACUGUAGAUAAUGCCGAAUGGUCCCCGCGGAGGGCAUCCUCUGCGGAGUAAACGGUGGCUUCGGCUGCUGCUUAGGGAGCGGGUUGCGGACUAUCAGCUUGUUGGUGGGGUAAUGGCCUACCAAGGCUUUGACGGAUAGCGGGUCUGAGAGGAUGAUCCGUCACACUGGGACUGAGACACUGCCCAGACUCCUACGGGAGGCUGCAGUCGAGAAUCUUCCGCAAUGGGCGAAAGCCUGACGGAGCGACACCGCGUGCAGGAUGAAGGCCUUCGGGUUGUAAACUGCUGUCACGCCAUAGGAAUGUCCUGUCGUUAAUAGCUGCAGGAUUGACCAAAGCGAAAGGAAGUACCGGCUAACUCCGUGCCAGCA
rnacentral:rRNA from 1 species